rnacentral:rRNA from 1 species
UACAGAGGCCCCGAGCGUUAAUCGGAGUCAUUGGGCUUAAAGGGUGCGUAGGCGGACCUUCAAGUGCCUUGUGAAAUCCCGCGGCUCAACCGCGGAAUUGCUCGGUAGACUGGAGGUCUUGAGGUUGGUAGAGGUUGCUGGAACUGUAGGUGUAGCGGUGAAAUGCGUAGAUAUCUACAGGAACGCCCAAGGUGAAGACAGGCAACUGGGCCAAUUCUGACGCUCAGGCACGAAAGCGUGGGGAGCAAACAGG